rnacentral:rRNA from 1 species
AGAGUUUGAUCAUGGCUCAGAUUGAACGCUGGCGGCAGGCCUAACACAUGCAAGUCGAACGGUAACAUUUCUAGCUUGCUAGAAGAUGACGAGUGGCGGACGGGUGAGUAAUGCUUGGGAACUUGCCUUUGCGAGGGGGAUAACAGUUGGAAACGACUGCUAAUACCGCAUAAUGUCUUCGGACCAAACGGGGCUUAGGCUCCGGCGCAAAGAGAGGCCCAAGUGAGAUUAGCUAGUUGGUAAGGUAACGGCUUACCAAGGCGACGAUCUCGAGCUGUUCUGAGAGGAAGAUCAGCCACACUGGGACUGAGACACGGCCCAGACUCCUACGGGAGGCAGCAGUGGGGAAUAUUGCACAAUGGGGGAAACCCUGAUGCAGCCAUGCCGCGUGUGUGAAGAAGGCCUUCGGGUUGUAAAGCACUUUCAGUUGUGAGGAAAAGUUAGUAGUUAAUACCUGCUAGCCGUGACGUUAACAACAGAAGAAGCACCGGCUAACUCCGUGCCAGCAGCCGCGGUAAUAGGGUGCGAGCGUUAAUCGGAAUUACUGGGCGUAAAGCGCACGCAGGCGGUUUGUUAAGCUAGAUGUGAAAGCCCCGGGCUCAACCUGGGAUGGUCAUUUAGAACUGGCAGACUAGAGUCUUGGAGAG